UACGUAGGGUGCAAGCGUUGUCCGGAAUUAUUGGGCGUAAAGAGCUUGUAGGCGGUUUGUCGCGUCUGCUGUGAAAUUUCGGGGCUCAACCCCGAACUUGCAGUGGGUACGGGCAGACUAGAGUGUGGUAGGGGAGACUGGAAUUCCUGGUGUAGCGGUGAAAUGCGCAGAUAUCAGGAGGAACACCGGUGGCGAAGGCGGGUCUCUGGGCCGAUACUGACGCUGAGGAGCGAAAGCGUGGGGAUCAAACAGG
rnacentral:rRNA from 1 species